rnacentral:lncRNA from 1 species
CACAGAGCCCGGCCCUGCCAGGCCUCAGGCCGAGUUGGUCCCACGCCCAGGGUGUCCAGCACCCUCCAGGCGUCACAGGAGGAUCGCCCCUCUGAUGCCCUGACGUGAGGGACAGAGAGGACCCAGGGCUCCGGACAGCCCCUCCCACAGCCGAGGGCUCUCCUGGGUCGGAGUCAGCUCUCCCAGCAGUGCCCACGGGUGGCUCCACAGCCCUGGGCUGUCAACCAUGGCGCCACUGUGCAUUGCCUGAGUGGGGGGCUCCCCGUGAUGGCCCACCCCGGGGCAGGUCUCUACCUGUGUCCUGAGGUUCCCUGAAGCAUCCUAGGGACUCUAGGUGGGGGGCUACCGCCUGCACUUCCUGUACUUCCGUUUCCACCCGAGACCUCGCUGGACCUGCCCUCACCGCCGUCUUCGCCUCCGCCCUCCUCGGCUCCAGAGCUGCCUGCUCACACGUGUUUGUUGUAGCAACAGCCUCCUUGGUGCCACUUCUGUCUGACUCCAUUCACUGAUGCUAUAACAAAAUGCCUGAGGCAGGGAACUCAUGAGGAGCAGAAACACGUUGCUCAGAGAUCUAGAGGCUGAAGGGCAAGGUGUGAGUACCAGCAGGCUAGGUGUCUGGUGACGGAUGCUCUCUGGGCUUUCAAGAUGGCCCCUGGUACGCCCAGUCCUCACUGGCCUCCGUCCCAUCUGUCUUCCAACAGACAGGCACAUGCUGAGCUUCCCCCGGGCCACCAACUGUCUUUUCACAGCUCAAGGGCAUCCUGCCCUGGGUGGCACCUGUGGCCCCAAGGCGGGUGGGGUGUGGAGCAUGAGCUGGCAGCUCAGGGUGGGAAGGGCUGG